ACAACGGCCCUUUUCAGGGCCACAAUAAUUUGUGUAAAUAGGGCAUU
rfam:Ixodes scapularis strain Wikel colony gcontig_1108379323398, whole genome shotgun sequence.